AUGCAGCACGUAGUAGCAAGCUGCCGGCCAGAGCGCGCGCCGGCUGCCGUGGCACCGACAGGCGACAGCCCAGGCCGCAGCCCAACCGCACGCAACGAAUACACCGACGUGCGCCGAACUCCUUCGCCUCGCCACGCACCGCGCCCACGCACGUUGAUCUCAUCUCGCCAGAAGCAGCGCCGAAGCGUCCGUCCAAACCCGGCACCGGCUCCGCUGCUCGUUUCGGUUCACCACGGCCGGGCGGGCGGGUCGGUCGUGUGCGCGCCUGUGCGCGUCUCGGGGCGCCAAAGAAGCGUUUUUUAUUCCGCCGGGUCGGGCGGUAGGAGGGGUCGACGCGGCGGUGGCGAGGCUACAAAUAAACAAAGCGGGGGAGGGGGAGCUCGUAUCGUAUCCUGGAGCGCGAGAGCGAGCGACGUGGUGAGCUGUUCUUCCCCCCUCCCCUCUUCGUGGCCUGCUAGUCUGCGUGCUCUGGCGGGUGCGUCCGUCCGUCCUCCAGGGGGGCUAUUAAGGGCGUCCAGCUGA
rnacentral:rRNA from 1 species